rnacentral:rRNA from 1 species
AAUGCUAAAGGGUUUGCACAAAAGCUGGAGUUAAUUUUUAUCUUUCUGUCCUCAGUCUUCUGCCAUCUGUCUUCUGAUGGGUAGAGGAGCGUUCUGUAAGCCUGUGAAGGUGAAUCGAGAGGUUUGCUGGAGGUAUCAGAAGUGCGAAUGCUGACAUAAGUAACGAUAAUGUGGGUGAAAAACCCACACGCCGAAAGUCUAAGGUUUCCUGCGCAACGUUAAUCGGCGCAGGGUGAGUCGGCCCCUAAGGCGAGGCAGAAAUGCGUAGUCGAUGGGAAACGGGUUAAUAUUCCCGUACUUUACAAUACUGCGAUGGGAGGACGGAGAAGGCUAGGUCAGCCACCCGAUGGUUGUGGUGGUUUAAGUGUGUAGGAAGGGUUCUUUGGCAAAUCCGGGAACUCAAUUCCGAGACAUGAUGACGAAGUACGAACUUGUUCGUGCAAAGUGAUUGAUGCCACGCUUCCAGGAAAAGUCCCUAAGCUUCAGGUAUUGUAAAACUGUACUAUAAACCGACACAGGUGGACAGGUAGAGAAUACCAAGGCGCUUGAGAGAACUUGGGUGAAGGAACUAGGCAAAAUGGCACCGUAACUUCGGGAGAAGGUGCGCCCUUGGUAAGUGAAGGUCCUUGCGACUGGAGCUGAAAAGGGUUGCAGAUACCA